AGAGGACUCUGAUCCUGGAUGCGUAAUGCCAAGCCUCGGCACGGAAGGGAAAUGUCUUCCUUCUGGAUGGCCUCCUUUCAAUUUUCGGUCACAAUGAAAUUACUUGUCUUCUUUUGUGAUUCAGAGUGUGGGAAGGAAGAUGAUAAGAGCAUCUACUGAGGUCUGCAGGGUCCUCUUCAGCCUCAGCCCCAGAAGCCCUCCCAGAAGAGCUAUGGCACCAGGUGCCAGCCAAGGACCAGGAGAAGGAUUUAGCCCAAUGGAUAAAGUUUGUUCCUUCGGCUGCGUCAGGCAGCUGGAGCAGACCUUCAAACAUAAACCCAAGUCAUCCAGGGCACGGAGGGGAUUUGUGAUCCUCCCUGGAGGCUGUUGGCUCCAAAUCCCAAGAAUGUGUUAUAUGAAAAAAUAAAUGCCUUUUUUUGCCAUCUGUGA
rnacentral:lncRNA from 1 species